UGAUGAUGUUAUAUUUUCUAAGAUGGAGGAAAAGCAACAGUUCCCAGAUAAUCUAAGGAUGUCGUGAAAUUAAAACCCAAAGAAUGGUCGACUGACUGGAUGUUCUGGAAUAAAAUUGGGACAGAGAAGUCACUCAUUUCUAGUGUGGUCGAAAAUAUGUAGCAGUGACAUACGAUGUAUGUUGUAGGUGCUUUGUGUUUCUUUUGGAGUGUCCAGAUCGUAUACGGACAACUUCACGUACUAUUGGGUUUCCCCCAGUGUAAAUGGGCGAAUGAGGAGUGUUCGAAUGACGCAGGGUGCUGCAGUAAAAAAUGUAUUCAGAAGAAUCCUGGGACAACUAAGCGUUGCAGCCAGAGCAGCCUUGGGGGACACUGUCUGUAUCAAUACCACUGUGAGAACUAUCUUGAGUGUGGGGACAAGAAGAAGAAAUGUUGUGCUAGGUACUGGGAGACAUGUUCCAAGUCCGAACACUGCUGUGACCCUGAACAUAGGUGUGUGCGCGCGGAGGGCUUUGUCUACAAAACAUGUCUGUAUCGAUCUCCCAGUGGUGCAGAGGCUUUGAAUUUGUCUCCUUUCUUGAGUAUUCUAAUUUUGCACUGUAUCCUGGAACAUUUGCAUGUACAGUAAUUCUAGUUCUUUCUGUGCAAGAUUGUGACUAAUUAUACUUCAAACUGAGAGGAUGAUUUGAAUUCCUCAGUUCCUGCUAAAUCUUCUCCGGAUCAAUAAAUUAUUAUACCCGAGCUAA